CAGGCGCGUAGCUACAUUUACGUCAAAACGCCCGGGCGUACACUUGAAUUUUGCCAAAAAAAAUAUAAUAAAAAAAGAACUGGUUAAAUCACACCAGCCUUGUAAAUCUUUCUUCAGACAUUAGCUUUUAAUAGCGAAUAAAAGUGACGACAUCUACUUUUCAAUCACAUGGUACCAUGUUAAAUGUAUUUGUUCAUUUCCUUAAACAGUCUGAAUCUAGUGUGAAUUCUACUUUCUUGUUUAAAGCAUUUCUGUA
rnacentral:lncRNA from 1 species